AUAGUAGGCAAUACUGAGUUGGAAAAUGUGCUUUACCACAGGUGACUGUGAGGCGUGUCAAGCUGGGUGUCACUUCCUGUACCGCUCGCGCCGGGAGUUACCUGAGUUUUUAAUCUUUAACCACCUGAACAUCUCAAUGGCGUCUACGGGGAAGGAGAAAGCUCUGAAAAGGGUUUCAGAAAAGUCCGACCAAUUACUUCGUCAGUAUGAGAACCUCCAAAAAGAGAACAAGAGAAUCAAAAAGGAGUGUAAACAAAUGCGGGAGGAAAGAGAUGUGGCCUUACGGAAGCUAAAUGAAUUUGAACAAGUGUCUCACAAGGUGAUCGAGGAAGUGAACAACAUUCAGGAGGAUCUAGAGAUUGAGAAGACCUGCAGACAGAGUGUAGAAGCUUUGGCCUCCAAGUUGAACAGACAGAACCGGUCUCUCAAGAGGAAGAGUAUGCUGUAUUUAGCCCAUCUUAAUGCUGAUGUCGUUGCUGAGAUCAAAAUUGAUGAUGAGGAAGAUGAAGCUUCACAGGAGAUGGAUGCCUGUAACUCCUCCCACUGUCAGCUCGUCAUCACAGAGCUGAGGGAUAAGCUAGAGGUGAUCCUGGCGGUAAAGAAACAGAUGGCUUUCGAUCUGGAGACAACAAGAGAACAGCUCUGUCAAACUAGACAGGAACUCCAGAAAGAGAAACAAGAUAAUACUGUUUUAAUAGCUGAAACAUUUCAACAAAAGAAACUCCUGGAAAAAUACAACAGAGUUUCUCAGUAUGCUCUGGAGGAGUUUGAGACCUUACAGGAGGAUCUGAAGCUUGAGAGAGACCUGCGUUCUGAAGCAGAGACGUUUGCGCAUAAGAUGCUGAUAGAACAGAAGAAGUUAAAAAGACAGAGCCAGUUGAUAAUUCAGAGUGUGUCUCCGGCCGAAUCACUCCAGAAAGCUCUGGCAGAGAUCAACACACUAACACACACUUUAGAGACGGAGAGACUGGAGCAGCAGAAGCAGAUGAAAGCACUUGAAGAACAGAUACAAAACAGUGAAUUAAAAAAGCAGCUCCUGACGUUACAAAGACAAACAGAACUGCUGGAGGAAGAAAGAAAAGAGUGGCAGCACAAGUACACUAAAGCUGAAACCGAGGCCAAGGAUCUCAGAUUCACAGUGGAGGAAGUAAAGAAAAAGCUUCAGCAGGUCACCAACCCAUCACCAGCUGCCCUAUCAGCAGCACCACCGCCUCCUCCGCCCCCACCUCCUCCGCCUCCACCUUCUGCAUCCUCAAGCAACCCUCUCAGCUCACUAUUGUCUAUACUUCGUAAGAAAAAAGAUAUCAGCCCCGAAAUCGCAUUAGUGGAAAAGGACUCCUCUGAAAAAGCCCCAGACAAGGACAUCAGACAUCAGGCUGUAGAUGAGAUGAUGCAGCGGAUCAAGAAAGGGAUUCAACUCCGUCCGGUUUCCCACACAGCCAACAGAACCAGACCGGGACCGAAAGAACAAACAUCACAUUCUGCUAUACAGGAGCUUAAAGGGAUUCUGAACUCUGUUAAGCAUUCAGGCCCCUCCCCCUCAUCUGGGACCGGCCCUCUAUCACCAUCCCCAAAGUCUGAGCUAGAAAAAGCCCUGUUAAGACGGAGAGAAGCACUGGACACUACACAGACUAACACAACUCCCAGUAGUUUUUUAGAUCCGACCCAUGUCAAGCAAACCCAGAAAGAACCAGACCAGAGCAUAAGAGACCAGGACAUACAGCACGGCAACCACACUUUGCACUAAACUGAGACCUCAGAGGAGAACUCUGGCUCCCCACUUGCUCACUCCCGCAGUGUGAAAAUAGCAGUUUUUUCAACAGAUGUCACCCAUUGUACAUCCAUAACAGGCAGUCUUCUGUGCAUCAUAGAGGUGAACUCAUCGCAUUCUUGGAAGGUGGUCUAUAGUUUGGAGGCACAGCUGUGGGUUUGUGUUUUCUCUCUGUUAACACAAAACAGUCCAUUCACACGCUUUCACACAAACACAUAAACACACACAAACACUUGUAUGAAGCGGACACUGCUGCCCUUUUCAAAAGGCUGGAUAAUUGGCCCCAUUCAGUGACUGUGUGUCUGUCAGUAUCUGUUGUCUGUAUGAAGUGAGAAGAGGAUGUGGAAAAGGAAGUGAUGCGUUGUCUUAUUUGUCGCUUUAUAAUGCAAGAACAGCUUUGAUUUUUCUGAAAACAUCCCUGUGUGUGGGGAAGAUGGGGUGGAGUCUACUUGAAAUAUGUGUGUUGAAUAAAUAAAGCUUUUGAUUUAAAGUGUUAUAUUUAAAGCUUUAAACAGAUUUUUUUUAACAAUGUUUGGUCAUUUUAAUACAUUUUAGUCCAACAGUCCAAGUAUACAUUUAAUAUUUUGCUUAUAAUAAUUCUAA